rnacentral:lncRNA from 1 species
UCGGCCUGCCGCCGCCACGGGGGCCUCUGACACUGCGCGCCAGGCCAGGUUCCGGAAGGCAGCCUGCGCGGGCGGGGAGCGCGGGCCCGGGAGGCCCCCGCGCGCCGGGCUGCCUGCAGCAGGGGGCUCGCACGAACGUCUUCCCCCGCCAACCUCCCAGCGCUGGGGUGCGGGCUAGGACGGGGUGGGGGGACAGUGGCGCCCAGCGCGGAACAGCGCAGGAGCCGGGCGCAACGCCGCACGCGGGGACCCAGGUUGCUGGGGCUCUGUCUCUGUGUGAGCCAGCCUGCGGGAAGCCUCGUCUGGCAGAAGGUGACCCAGAGAAAGGAAUUCUAACGCUUCUCUCAGAGGUCAGCCGACUGUUUCUGUAACGGGGCACAGAGGGGGUGUCUGGGGGUCUGUGUCACCGGGACUGAAGCCUGCCGUAGCAAUGCUGAGGCAGCCAGAGACGACUCGUAAGCAAACGGGCGCGCGGGGCUCCCUCAGAGCCCUGUUCGCAGCGCAGGUGGGCCUCGGCCGCCCCCUGCUCUGUGUGGGCCCUUGGCAGUCCCUCACCUGGAUGCCAGCCCAUCCUCAGCUGCAGCCCGUGCCAUGAAAUAUGUCUGUCCCGCCGGUGCCUGACUCUGGGCAGAGUUUCUCAGGGGCAAGACCCCACACCCCGCGCUCAGCCCCAGCCUGCAGGCUCGUCUUGCGCCGUCUUCCCGCCUUUCUCCCAUUUCACAGGCACAUAAACUGAGGCUCCAGCAGCCUGCCUCUUGUUCAGAGCCAGGCCAUGCGUAAGCGAGGGGGCUGGAAUCCAAGCCGGGGCUGCACCGUGGUGACCCCCGCCCCCAUCCCAGCGCACCUCUGCCUGGGCGCCCGCCCCCUCCCCGUGGCCCCAACCCCUCUGUCCACCUCCACUUCCUGUGGCCACUCAGGGAAUUUGCAUCUGGGGCCAAAGCAUGAGCGUCAGUGACUCCCGAGGCCCCCGUUCACUCUGGGACCCCCAAUAUUGUCGUGCACAGGAUACCUUCCAGCCAGCAACAGCCGGGGCCGAGGAGUUCGGGCUGGGGGGAGGGGAUAAUGAGGGCCCGUGAGACCCAGUGGCAGGUGCUAGGUCCUCUGCAAAGUGGGAUGAGCCGAGUCCUAACUGCCUUGUGGCUGUCUUUGCCGUGCACAAGCCCUGUGCGCAGAAUGUCCUGGAAAGCCCCCUUCGCGGUGGCUCCAUUGCCCUGUCCUAGGGGACAGGGCUGAGGCCCAGAGACACUGAGUCACCAUCUCAUGUUGCAGAGCCGAGUUCCAGGCCGCCACACGCACUGCCUUUGGUCACUCUGCUGGGCUGGAUAGUGUCCCCCAAACUCACGUCCUACCCAGACGCAGGACCUUUGGAAAUAGGAUCAUUGCUGAUGUGAUUAGGCAAGACGAGGUCACACCGCAGUCCCUGGGCCCUAAUCCAGCAUGACUGGUGUCCUUAGAAGAGAAGAGACACAGAGACAGACACACGGAGGGAAGGCAGCCAAGGGACCGGGCAGGCAGGGGCCAGAGUGAUGGGUCCACAGGCCGAGGAAUGCCAGGGGCCUCUGGCAGCCAGAGAAAGGGGCAUGAGCAGGUCCUCCCUGGAGCCUCCAGCAGGAGCACGGCCCUGCCAGCGCCUUGACCGGGGACUUCCGGCCCCAGAGCUGUGACAGCAUAAAUUUCUCUUCAGCCCCGCGGUGUGUGGUGCUCGUGGUGGGACAACCCUAAGACAGAAAUGCAGUAACUCAGCCCCACUGCACGGAACCCAGCCCGCCCAGCCUCUGGUCCGCGGGCAGCUCAGCUCCAGGGGAAACCUCAAAGGCCCCGGCGGAGGCCGCGGAGACAGGCAGGGCCCGGAGGGCGGCUC